rnacentral:lncRNA from 1 species
UUCUUCUUCCUUCUCUCCGGGGGUUGUUGUGCUGUCGUAGCCGAGCAUCGCCAUCCAAAUAGCCCGGGUUCCUCCCUCUCUAACAUCCCCUGUCUCCCCUGUUCCGAGAUCUAUUACCUUCUUUCUGUCAGAAUCCGCCGCCAUUGGUCGAAUCCGCCGUUACCGCCGCUCGCCGGUCAGUCCCUUGCUCCUUCUUCGUGGUCCCUUGGUCGAGGAAACCGCCACCGAGGCAGCUAGAGGCACUGCCCCCCUUUGCCUCCAUUGCCAUGUUCUCUGUGCACGCGGCCGAAGCGCCAAUGCACAUCAUGGGCCGCGGCCACCUUGCCGGAGAUCCGUGUCGCCCUCAUCCUCUCUCUAUGUAGGGAUUAAAUGAUCAACAUCGGAACUGAGCCUUCACUGUCCUCCCUCAUGUUCGGUCCAUUCCUGGUGGCUGCUACAGCCGCCGACGUCCCGCCGCCACGGCAUGGCUGCAGCAUCUUCUCCUUUUAGGUUUUUGGGUGAUUUUUCUGAUGGGUGAAUUUCAAGAGAUUUUAGAGUGGAAAUAGUAAGAUACCUCUGCCCCUAAUGUGUUUAACCAUACACAUUAUAUGGUC